rnacentral:snoRNA from 1 species
AGCACUUGUGUCUCUGUUGAACUGGUGGGCAAAGACUUAAGACAGGUGCAAGAGGCAAUCUGCUUUUGUAACCUAGAACUCUCUAGUCAGAAUGAGUUUUGAUGCGUGUAGCAUAGACCGG